rnacentral:rRNA from 1 species
UACGUAGGCGGAAAAUUAAGUCAGUGGUGAAAUCCUGCAGCUUAACUGUAGAACUGUCAUUGAUACUGGUUUUCUUGAAUACAGUUGAGGUAGGCGGAAUGUGUAAUGUAGCGGUGAAAUGCUUAGAUAUUACGCAGAACACCGAUUGCGAAGGCAGCUUACUAAACUGUUAUUGACGCUGAGGUACGAAAGCGUGGGGAGCGAACAGGAUUAGAUACCCUGGUAGUCC